CUGCCUACGGGGGGCAGCAGUGGGGAAUAUUGCACAAUGGGGGAAACCCUGAUGCAGCGACGCCGCGUGAGUGAAGAAGUAUCUCGGUACGUAAAGCUCUAUCAGCAGGGAAGAAAAAAAGUCUUUGGCUUUGGACGGUACCUGACUAAGAAGCCCCGGCUAACUACGUGCCAGCAGCCGCGGUAAUACGUAGGGGGCUAGCGUUAUCCGGAAUUACGGGGCGUAAAGGGUGCGUAGGUGGUUUCUUAAGUCAGAGGUGAAAGGCUACGGCUCAACCGUCGAAAGCCUUUGAAACUGGGGAACUU
rnacentral:rRNA from 1 species